rnacentral:piRNA from 1 species
GCUUCAAGAACAGGAUGAUGCGGAGGC